UACGAAGGGGGCUAGCGUUGCUCGGAAUCACUGGGCGUAAAGCGCACGUAGGCGGCUUUUUAAGUCAGGGGUGAAAUCCCGGAGCUCAACUCCGGAACUGCCUUUGAUACUGAAAAGCUUGAGUUCGGGAGAGGUGAGUGGAACUGCGAGUGUAGAGGUGAAAUUCGUAGAUAUUCGCAAGAACACCAGUGGCGAAGGCGGCUCACUGGCCCGAUACUGACGCUGAGGUGCGAAGGCGUGGGGAGCAAACAGG
rnacentral:rRNA from 1 species